CAUAUUGGUAGGACCAUGAUGCCCACCUGAGCCGCAAAACCAGUAAGUUUUUAUUCAGGAUUUCAAAAGGGGAAGGGGUAUAUGAAUAGGGAGUAGGUCACAUGCUUUAAGGGGCAAAAAGCAGAGUAAAGAUCAUAUGCAUCUGAGGAAAUGGGGCAAGGACAAAAUCAGAACUCCUGGUAAGGGUCUAUGUUCAGCAGUGCACGUAUUGUCUUGAUAAACAUCUUAACAGAAAACAGAGUUUGAGAGCAGAGAACUGGUCUGACCUCAAAUUUACCAGGCUGGGAUUUCCCAAUCCUAGUAAGCCUGAGAGUACUGCAGGAGACCAGGGCGUAUCUCAGUCCUUAUCUCAACCACAUAGGACAGACAUCCCCAGAGCGGCCGUUUAUAGACCUGCCCCCAGGAAUGCAAUUCUUUCCCUAGGGUCUUAAUAUUCCUUGCUAGGAAAAGAAUUUAGCGAUAUCUUCCCUAUUUGCAUGUCCAUUUAUAGGCUCUCUGCAAGAAGAAAAAUAUGGCUCUUUUUGCCCAACCCUGCAGGCAGUCAGACCUUAUGGUUGUCUUCCCUUGUUCCCUAAAAUCGCUGUUAUUCUGUUCUUUUUCAAGGUGCACUGACUUCAUAUUGUUCAAACACACAUGUUUUACAAUCAAUUUGUACAGUUAACGCAAUCAUCACAGUGGUCCUUAGGUGAUGUACAUCCUCAGCUUACGAAGAUAACAGGAUUAAGAGAUUAAAAUAAAGACAGGCAUAAGAAAUUAUGAAAGUAUUAUUAGGGAAGUGAUAAAUGUCCAUGAAAUCUUCACAAUUUAUGUUCCUCUGCUGAGGCUCCAGCCGGUCCCUCCAUUCAGGGUCCCUGACUUCCCGUGACACCCCAGGUUUUUAAAGAGCCACAGGAAGUCCCUAUCCAGAGAUGAAGUGACAUGCAGUUAGUGUGAUCAAUGCAGUGCAAAGCCGCUGUUAAUAACCAUCCAUGACAUCUCCCCUUCCUGAUUUGCCACCUGACAAAAUGCCCUGUGGAGGGCUGGAAAUGGAGGAUGAAUCCAAUCUCAGCAUUUUUCUGAGAAGGAAAAUGAAACUCAAAAAAAGGAGACUCCCAGGGUCACACUGUGAGCUGGAGGUAGAAUUGGGGCUGCCAGUUUCAAGGCAGAAUGUUCUUGACUGGAUGCCAUUUAAACGGCAGUUUUAAGUGGUUUGCAAAAUACUAGUCCUUCUGACUUCCCCACAGGUAAACGCAAACAACCAGAAUGGAAGAUUACCAAAGUGGACAAAAUAUUCUAGAGACAUAAAAGGGGGAAAAUACAAUUCAAUGUUCCUGUAAAGAGAAACUUCUGUCCAAAGAAAUGUUUUAAAUUUAACUGAGACUUGUAACAUUCUUUUUGUUACAACCUGCUAGAGAGGACUUGAUUUCUCUAAACUCUCCCCCCCGUGCAAGGGAACAAUGAUAUGAUUGUGGGUUGUUUCACUUUGAGUGUUUCUCAACCUCUAAAUAUGAGCCAUUCUCUGCAUCUAAAUAUGAGCCAACCUAUGUGUGAUCUGAAGUCUUUUUAAAUAUAAAUUGCCAGGGGGAGAAGGGGGUUAGUGGACCUUAAGGCUUUUAUCUUCAGAUUUAAGAAUUGACUUUCCCAAAGUUUAAAAAGAGAAAAGACCACUUACAGAAAAUCUCUAAUACAUCUCUGUACUCCCAGUCCUGAAAAGAGAAUUUCAGAAAGAAGCUGUUGCCGGGUGCUGACGUUUCUUUUUGGAUCAAACCUAAUAUUCAAGUCAAUUUUUAUAGGUUGAAACUAUAGAAGAAAGAAAGCAAAAGCCGAAAAACCAGCAAAAAGAUCCCGCUAUCAACUCCAGAGAGUGCAGAACUUAAAAAAAUAAAAUUUAAAACAAAAAAAACUUGACAAGUAUCUUUGGACAGAAGGCUCCCCACUCACAAUGGGAGAGAAGCCAGAGGAAAGGAAAUUAUCAUGGAGAUUCAUCUUGAUGCAAAGAUGAAAGGGAAGAAAUGAGGAAUGGCUUCAGCAUCAAAGUAUACUCCCCAUCAGCAUAUCUCACCACUGGCGACUCACCCUUUGAAUGAAAACCCCUCAGAAAAAAUUCCAUGUGCUAUGAUGAAUUGCUGUCCACUCAACCAACCCAAGACCAGCAGGAACAAAGCCUACUCUGAAAAAGCCUACAAAGUUGUGUUCAUUGACACAUUGCAAAGAGACCACACACCAGGAGAACCAUAGGGUAUCUCCCCAAACAAGGAAAAGAAAAGAAUUACAGUAUGGGGCAAGGGGAGGAAUGGAAUUUAAGUGAAAUGUAUUUUGACAGACUCAAAGCAAGAUAGGUCUAAAUGUAAAGGUAUUAUUUUAAGUCCUGGACUAUGAAGCAGACCCAGGAACCUGUUUGCUGGGAAGCAAUAAGAUUAUUAUCCAUAGCUGUGGAAUACUGUGUCCAAAAACCCCUCCUCCAAAGCUCUGUACCUAGGGUUUGAAUCAAGGCUUCUUCUCUCUUGGUGACUUAGAUCCUCCAGGCAAGGGUGAGAUGUUUCACUCUAACAUCAUUUCAAACAGCAAUGUUUCUGAUAGUCUAAGAUUUUAGAGAAAAAAGGUUUCUCAGUGAGUCAGAAGGCACUACUCACUCCAAGAAGGGGGUUGUUGUGACCCUUUACCACUACAGUGUGCCCCUUGGGAGAAAUACUAUUUAUUGUUAACUUUGAAUCUGCUUUUAUCUUUUAUUCCAGCCUGAUGAAUGGCCAGGCAGAUUUUAACAGUCCAAGCUAAUUUUUACUUUCUCUUGUCUCAAUGGGGGUGACAGACAAUCAGGUCAUUACAACACAGUGGGAGAAGCAACUAUGAUGAGGGUUUAAUUUAGACUUCAUUUAGGUCAGGGAAGACUGUCUGCAGGAGGCAGACCUCCCAGCUGGGAAAAGCAGAAGCUGGCCGAACGAAAGUGGGAAGGAGGAGUGUUACAGCACAGUGAGGACUUGGGCAGAGGCACCAGAGUGGGGCAGAGGGUGGUAAAUUGGAGGAAUCACAAGUGUCAUUGAAGGCAAAUCAACGGAAUGUCUAGAAUGCUUUGGAGGACUGCGUAACACUUACAUCAGAACUUAGACCAAACUCUCCUCUGGCUAAGGUUAGAAAGCACAGGUCACUGGGAGUAUGUGUUCUCUGUUCAGGGGAGAGUCAUUAGCGUGGUCUUCCUAUGCAUAUACACAUGAAAGGCAAGUAGCCCCCAGAGGGGAAGUGCUAAGGGGGAGUUCCCCCGAGGUUUCCUAAGGCACCUGGUUUGCAAAGCUGAUCCCUGUGUGGAAAGUGGAGCCAUUUGUAGACUUGCCCUGAACCAUCCCAUCCUGUUUCCUGAGGACAUUUAGGGAACCAGGCUAGCCUUUAACCAAUGCUGAGUUUCAGGAAAGGACAAGGACAACCAAGAAAUAAAACCACCAUGAAGAAACAGGGUGUUUCUGAGAACUGAAUAUACCAGUGGGUGGUAUCAUUCAAGGUCCUGGGAGGGAACAGACUGCACAGUGAAACAGGAUAAUCCUCUUUCUCGUCUCUUCACUGGCCGAAACCAAUCAGGAACAAAGGGCAAGGAUUUAAUUGGUCCAGGUGGACCUGGGCAUCGGAGGUCAUGUAGCUCUGCAGGGCACUGCAGUGUGUGGUCAGCACUGAGGGCACCUCUCUCUGAGAGCUGCCAAGGCUGUCCCUGGAGGUCAUCCUCCAGGACAGAGAGCAAGGUGGAAAAGGGAGAACAGUGGAUUUGGAGGGACAAAGUAGAAAGUUCUAGAACACGGGCUAAUACUAAGGGCUCUUUUGGACUUGUUCACCCUGGCACAGAGGUUUUUCUCUGCAAAACAACAGCUGGAUUUGGGAAAGUGAGAUAAAAGGAGUUGUCACUUAUAGCACAGCAGGGAACAGCAGACCCUAGCACUGUGGACCUGGUGUCUUCAACAAACUGCCACUUUGGAGACAAGCAGUAGAAAGAAUUUUAAAUUAUUGAACUUACUAGUUUUAACUUAUAUUAUUUUAAAUGAUUUCUUAUUUAAAAAAUUAACGAGUGUCCAUGUUGGCACCCUUUGUUAGAGAAGCAGAUCCUGUUAGAGUGGUGACAGCCAAGUCUGGAGCCCUAAGCAAGUCUGGAAGGACAUGAGUGUCAGGUGGAGACUUUAUCCUGAGGGCAGUGUGGACCUGGAGGGCCUCCAGCAGGGAGCAGCAUGUGGUACUGGCUGCUUUUGCUGGAUUAUGCUGUGAUAGGCAAGCCCCUGCCCAUCCCUUACAUUACCAGGAAGGAUUGCAUAUUAAUUCUGUUGUCACCUGACUCCCUUGCCCAGAUGGGGAAGACAACUGUUAAGCACUAGAAGAGAAGACAAGAAAGGGGAGUCAGAACACAGGGACAAAAAACAGUACUUGCUUUUCAAUUUUGAGCCUUCAAGAUAUCGGCUGGAGAACUAGAAAAUCUUGUUUCCAGGCAUCACAUUCUUCGGUUCCUCUGCAUUUUUCUAAGCUUUGGAGGAAUGUAUAAACUGGUUUCCAAAAAUGUUCUGAGUUUUCUUUCAACAAAACUAUUGAACACCUGCUAUGUGUCAGGUACCAAGAGAACAACAGAGAAGAAAACAUGGGCUGCCUGACAGCCUUGCAGAGCGACAGACACAUGCGCAGUUAUUUGCAGGUGUAUGGCUUAGCCUCUAAAACAAUGCAGGCCAUGUUUUAGACCAAAGAAAAGGAUAGCUAGAAUUUUUACAGGUGCAUAAAAUUAAGUAAAUUAUAGUCCUUAUUUCAUGGUGCUUAUUGUCAUCAGCCUGUUUUAUUUUUUGCAAUUCAAUUCCCACUUAUGUUUCUCCCCAUAGGCACCCACUUUGAUGGACUUAAUAAGUAUCCUUGGAUAGGAUGGCAUCUUUAUAAAAUCAUACAGAAGUGGUAUCACACCGUAGAUCUUAAUCUGCCGCUUCUUUCACUCAACACUUUUUUUUAUUAUUUUACUUUAAGUUCUGGUGUACAUGUGCAGAACGUUCAGGUUUGUUACAUAGGUAUACGUGUGCCAUGGUGGUUUGUUGCACCCAUCAACGCGUCAUCUAGGUUUUAAGUCCUGCAUGCAUUAGGUAUUUGUCCUAAUGCUCUCCCUCCCCUUGCCCCCUAUCCCCAACACUAAUUUUUAAGAUCUACCCAUGAUGCACACGCACAUCUAGUUCAUAGGGCCUAACUGCUGGAAAGUAUUCCACAGGUUGUAUCUAUUCCAUAGUAUUAUCCAUUCCCUGAGCAGUAAAUGCUCAGAUGCCUCCAAUUGUCCUACUACCACAUUAAUCUGGAGAUUAACGUAGCAUCUGUAGACCUGUCCCUUUAUGGACUGUGAGCAAGUUUCUCUGGAGCAUUUACCCAGGAGUAGGCUAAAUAAGUCAUGGGGCAUAUGUGACGUCCAUAAGUAUUGGCAUACUGCUCUCCAGACACUCAAACUUGGUAUUGUCUGCCUCUUUAAUGUUUUGGGUUUUUUUUGUUGUUGCUUUUUCUCUGAGAUGGAGUUUCACUCUGUUGCCAGGCUGGAGUGCAGUGUCGCUGUCUCGGCUCACUGCAACCUCUGCCUCCCAGGUUCAAGCAAUUCUCCUGCCUCAGCCUCCUGAGUAGCUGGGACUAAAGGCACCUGCCGCCAUGCCCAGCUAAUUUUUUGUAUUUUUAGUAGAGAUGGGGUUUCACCGUGUUAGCCGCAUGGUCUCAGUCUCCUGACCUCGUGAUCCGCCCACCUCAGGACUCCCAAAGUGCUGGGAUUACAGGGUGAGCCACCGUGCCCAGCCCAAUGUUUUUGGCUUUUAAGUGGUGUCUUGUUUUACUUUAUUUAUUUAUUUUAUUUUUUAUUUUAUUUUGUUUUUUUGAGACAGAGUCUUGCUCUGUCACCCAGACUGGAGUGCAGUGGUACCAUCUUGGCUCACUGCAGCCUCCGCCUCCCAGGUUCUAGCAAUUCUCCCACCUCAGCCUCCCAAGUAGCUGCGAUUACAGAUGAGCACCACCAUGCCCAGCUAAUUUUUGUAUUUUUAAUAGAGACGGGGGUUUCACCAUGUUGGCCAGGCUGGUCUCAAACUCCUGACCUCAGGUGAUCCCUCUGCCUCGGCCUCUCAAAGUGCUGGGAUUACAGGCGUGAGCCACCGCACCCCUCCAUCUUGUUUUAUUUUGGUAUCCAAUGAAGUUGAGCAAUCUUAGCCAUUUUGAUUUCCCCUUGAAUACACUUUGUGUAUUUUUCUGUUGGAUUUACUUUAGAUAUUAUUUCUGUCACUUUUUGAUGAUGUAAAAAUCUCCCUUUCUGUAAGCCAGUUGUCAUCUUUGUCUACUAUAUCACAUUAAAAAUGAAUUCUUAA